CGCGGCCUAUCAGCUUGUUGGUGAGGUAACGGCUCACCAAGGCGACGACGGGUAGCCGGCCUGAGAGGGCGACCGGCCACACUGGGACUGAGACACGGCCCAGACUCCUACGGGAGGCAGCAGUGGGGAAUAUUGCACAAUGGGCGGAAGCCUGAUGCAGCGACGCCGCGUGAGGGAUGACGGCCUUCGGGUUGUAAACCUCUUUCAGCAGGGAAGAAGCGCAAGUGACGGUACCUGCAGAAGAAGCGCCGGCUAACUACGUGCCAGCAGCCGCGGUAAUACGUAGGGCGCAAGCGUUGUCCGGAAUUAUUGGGCGUAAAGAGCUCGUAGGCGGCUUGUCGCGUCGGAUGUGAAAGCCCGGGGCUUAACCCCGGGUCUGCAUUCGAUACGGGCAGGCUAGAGUUCGGUAGGGGAGAUCGGAAUUCCUGGUGUAGCGGUGAAAUGCGCAGAUAUCAGGAGGAACACCGGUGGCGAAGGCGGAUCUCUGGGCCGAUACUGACGCUGAGGAGCGAAAGCGUGGGGAGCGAACAGGAUUAGAUACCCUGGUAGUCCACGCCGUAAACGGUGGGAACUAGGUGUUGGCGACAUUCCACGUCGUCGGUGCCGCAGCUAACGCAUUAAGCUCCCCGCCUGGGGAGUACGG
rnacentral:rRNA from 1 species